UCCGGUUUGUCACCGGCGGUCUCCUUAGAGUUCCCACCAUUACGUGCUGGCAACUAAGGACAAGGGAUGCGCUCGUUGCGGGACUUAACCCAACAUCUCACGACACGAGCUGACGACAGCCAUGCAGCACCUGUGUCGGCUCCUCUUGCGAGGUCGGUCCCCUUUCGGUUCCCUACCACCGACAUGUCAAACCCAGGUAAGGUUCUUCGCGUUGCCUCGAAUUAAACCACAUGCUCCACCGCUUGUGCGGGCCCCCGUCAAUUCCUUUGAGUUUCAGCCUUGCGGCCGUACUCCCCAGGCGGGGCACUUACUGCGUUAGCGACGACACUCAGGGGGUCGCUCCCCCAAGCAUCUAGUGCCCAUCGUUUACGGCGUGGACUAC
rnacentral:misc_RNA from 1 species